rnacentral:rRNA from 1 species
ACCUGGUUGAUCCUGCCAGGCGCGCUCGCUAAUUUAACGGGGACUAAGCCAUGUAUGUCCUUAAGUUCAUACUAUUCUAUAGUGAGACUGCGAAAGGCUCAGUAAAUCAGUUAUAAUCGUUUUGAUUACAUUACCCAUUGGAUAACCGUGGGAAAUCUAGAGCUAAUACAUGCAACCUUUCGGCAUUCGCGUGUCGAGGCAUUUAUUAGAAAACAACCAGCAACAGAGUAGCUCACGCUGCUCUGUAUAGGUGAAUCUAGAUAACUGUGCAGAUCGUAUGGCCUUGUGCUGACGACGUUUCAAUUGAAUUUCUGCCCUAUCAACUUGUUGGUAAGGUCGUGGCUUACCAAGGUUGUAACGGGUAACGGGGAAUCAGGGUUCGAUUCCGGAGAGGGAGCCUGAGAAAUGGCUACCACAUCCAAGGGAGGCAACAGGCGCGCAAAUUACCCAAUCCAGACACUGGGAGGUGGCUACGAAAAAUACUGGGUCGUUUCCCUAUGGGAUGCGACACCGGAAUGAGCACAAUUUAAGACAUUGUGAUCAACAACUGGAGGGCAAGUUUGUUGCCAGCAGCCGCGGUAAUUCCAGGUCCAGCAGCGAGUGUGAAUGUUGCUGCAGUUAAAACGCUCGUAGUUGAAUGAUGCGUUGUGAGGCACUGAGUGGUUGGCUCUACUAUCAAGACUGUAUUCAGUGUCCAGUCACACAAACUACGUUUGUGCUGACGCUCGCUCGUAGACAGAGUAGAGUCAAUCUACCAACAAGUGCUUCAUGACGGAUUAUCGUGAGAAUGGUGUAUGGCCUUGAGUGGUUGUGCACUGUGUCUUGCGGAUUGUGCCUUGAGUAAAUCAGAGUGCUCAGAGCAGGCAGCGGCCUGAAUGUAAUAGCAUGGAACGAACAAAUGUGACAAUACGUGCACUGUAGGACGCUGUGACUGGCUAUGUUGGUCAUGGUCGCCGUGCAGUGCACAGCACCAACCACCAAAACGGAUGUUGGUUUCCGUAUUGGGGUGAUGAUUGAGAGGGGCGGUUGGGGGCAUUAGUAUUUGGCCGCGAGAGGUGGAAUUCUUAGACCGCCCAAGGACUAACAAAUGCAAAGGCAUUUGCCAAGACCGUUCCCGUUGAUCAAGAGCGAUAGUGAGAGGUUCGAGGACGAUCAGAUACCGUCCUAGUUCUCACCGUAAACGAUGCCAACCCGGGAUCAGCUUUGAGCUCAUAUAUAUGGACGCUCGCGGUUGGUCCCCCUGGGAAACCUAAAGUGUUUGGGUUCUGGGGGGAGUAUGGUUGCAAGGCUGAAACUUAAAGGAAUUGACGGAAGGGCACCACCAGGAGUGGAGCCUGCGGCUUAAUUUGACUCAACACGGGAAAACUCACCCGGUCCAAACAUCGACAGGAUCGACACACUGCAGGUUUUUCGAGAUAUGAUGCGUGGUGGUGCAUGGCCGUUCUUAGUUCGUGGAGUGAUCCGUCGUGUCACUCAGAUAACGGACAAGGUCUUGAUCUUCACUUGCGGAGUGAGUGCAUUCAAUUACUGCGAGACGCAAAGUAGUUGUGGCAAAAACCAAGCUCGGAAACGGGUUUGAAAGAUUCCCACUCACCAAACACUGAAUGAGUGAAAGCUGGUUCAGUGUGCGAUGAAGAGACCACCGAGUAUACAACAAAGUCGGAUGAGGCUAGGCAAUAACAGGUCUGUGAUGCCCUUAGAUGUUCGGGGCUGCACGCGCGCUACAAUGGUGACAGCAACAAGUGUCUGGAUCGAGAGAUCUGGGUAAUCUACAAUUGUCACCGUGAUGGGGAUUGUGCUUUGAAAUUAUCGCACAUGAAAACGGAAUGCCUCGUAAUUGCGAUUAAUCAGAUCGCGAUGAAUGCGUCCCUGCCCUUUGUACACACCGCCCGUCGCUACUACCGAGUGAAUCGUGUCAUGAUGCCUUGGGACCGGACGUGUUCCAGCUUUACGGCUAGAACGACGCUGGGAUCAAUGUAAAAUGGCGCAAUUUCGAGGAAGUAAAAGUCGUAACAAGGUUUCCGUAGGUGAACCAGCGGAAG